UACGUAGGGUGCGAGCGUUGUCCGGAAUUAUUGGGCGUAAAGAGCUCGUAGGCGGUCUGUCGCGUCGGCUGUGAAAACUCGGGGCUCAACCCCGAGCCUGCAGCCGAUACGGGCAGACUAGAGUUCGGUAGGGGAGACUGGAAUUCCUGGUGUAGCGGUGAAAUGCGCAGAUAUCAGGAGGAACACCGGUGGCGAAGGCGGCGACCUGGGUAGAUACUGACGCUGAGGUGCGAAAGCGUGGGGAGCAAACAGG
rnacentral:rRNA from 1 species